rnacentral:rRNA from 1 species
CCUACGGGCGGCAGCAGUGAGGAAUAUUGGUCAAUGGACGAGAGUCUGAACCAGCCAAGUAGCGUGAAGGAUGACUGCCCUAUGGGUUGUAAACUUCUUUUAUAUGGGAAUAAAAUGUUCCACGUGUGGGAUUUUGUAUGUACCAUAUGAAUAAGGAUCGGCUAACGCCGUGCCAGCAGCCGCGGUAAUACGGAGGAUCCGAGCGUUAUCCGGAUUUAUUGGGUUUAAAGGGAGCGUAGGGGGAUUGUUAAGUCAGUUGUGAAAGUUUGCGGCUCAACCGUAAAAUUGAAGUUGAAACUGGCAGUCUUGAGUACAGUAGAGGUGGGCGGAAUUCGUGGUGUAGCGGUGAAAUGCUUAGAUAUCACGAAGAACUCCGAUUGCGAAGGCAGUUCACUGGACUGCAACUGACACUGAGGCUCGAAAGUGUGGGUAUCAAACAGGAUUAGAUACCCGAGUAGUC